AAUCAACGCUGGCGGCGUGCCUCAGACAUGCAAGUCGAACGCGAAAGUUCCCUUCGGGGGGCGAGUAGAGUGGCGCACGGGUGAGUAACACGUAGGUAAUCUACCUUUGGGUGGGGAAUAACAGCCGGAAACGGCUGCUAAUACCGCAUAAUGCAGCGGCUCGACAUCGAGACAGUUGUUAAAGCGGGGGAUCGCAAGACCUCGCGCCUAAAGAGGAGCCUGCGGCGGAUUAGCUUGUUGGUGAGGUAAUGGCUCACCAAGGCAUCGAUCCGUAGCCGGCCUGAGAGGGCGGUCGGCCACACUGACACUGACAUACGGGUCAGACUCCUACGGGAGGCAGCAGUCGGGAAUUUUGGGCAAUGGGCGCAAGCCU
rnacentral:rRNA from 1 species